CCCAAAUACGAAGAUAAGUUAUCUUGUGUACAUAUGUACAUGUACAUCAACAGAUUACGGAGAGGUGCUAUUACAUACAUACAUAAAUUGAAGGACAGUGUACAGAUUUGGGAAGUAUGUAAAUAUGUACGCGAGCGAAAAAUAGUUUCAACUUAUUCCCAAAUUUGCAAAUUUUAGUACCAAAUUUUACUCGAUUGUGCUAAUACUUAAGUUGGCUUACUCACAUACAUACAUACGUUCAUCAUGGAAUAUGCAGAAGAGAAAUCGUUCAAAUUUCCAUCGUUCCAGUUUCCCAGUAUUUUCCAAUCGGAAACUGUGCAUAAGGAACCCGAGCUCGUCAUGGGAUACCGGGAGGACAUCCCGCAAGCGGAAGUGUUCUACUGGGGGUUCAGUAAGGACGGCUUUGGUCACUUGUCCCUUCAACUGGACAAUGCCACCUACAUCAGCCACUAGCCAAACGCGCCCAAGGGAACCGGAAGUUUGGCCGCGGUAGAGUCGAAGGCCCUUCAAAUGGCGUCCCUCCGAGGGGACAUUUCCACCGAGGGGAGAAAACCUGACGACUCGAUCGCCCUUCCAAAAGGGCUCAUUAACGAGAGGGACAUUUCCAUCUGGUGGGACAAUUCUCGCUGGACAUCUCUAGAGGACAUCUCUCGCUGGUGGAAAAUGUACUGCAAGACGAGCCGGUACGCUUUGCUGUAUAGCAAUUGCGCCCAGACGGUAAAGUUGGCCUUGGAAGCGGGGGGAAUAAGGGGGCCACCGAUCAUCGGAGUGGGGCUUACACCAGUGCAAGUGUUUCAAUGGGUCAAGGGCUGCGUGGCGCUGUAUAAGGGGACCAGCCAGUGGAGUUGUGUGGUAGUUUGAUUUCUGGGGAAUUUGGAACAGAUCCCUGAAAAAUUCCUGGAAUACAAUUCCAGAAAUGUACAUGCGAACAUUACAAAAUUUGAAAAAUUUAACAGCAAUAUAUACAUACAUAAAUAUGCAAAUCAUGAAUUAAUAAAAUGUGUAAUGUACUUGCGA